UACGGGGGGAGCAAGCGUUGUUCGGAUUUACUGGGCGUAAAGGGCGUAGACGGUCAUGUAAGUCGGGUGUGAAAGCCCCGGGCUCAACCUGGGAAUUGCAUUCGAGACUGCAUGGCUAGGAUGCGGAAGAGGGAAGCGGAAUUUCCGGUGUAGCGGUGAAAUGCGUAGAUAUCGGAAGGAACACCAGUGGCGAAAGCGGCUUCCUGGUCCAGCAUCGACGUUCAGGCACGAAAGCGUGGGGAGCAAACAGG
rnacentral:rRNA from 1 species